ACGGAAGGCAGCAGUAGGGAAUCUUCCACAAUGGACGAAAGUCUGAUGGAGCAACGCCGCGUGAGUGAAGAAGGAUUUCGGUUCGUAAAACUCUGUUGUAAGGGAAGAACAAGUGCAGUAGUAACUGGCUGCACCUUGACGGUACCUUAUUAGAAAGCCACGGCUAACUACGUGCCAGCAGCCGCGGUAAUACGUAGGUGGCAAGCGUUGUCCGGAAUUAUUGGGCGUAAAGCGCGCGCAGGUGGUUUCUUAAGUCUGAUGUGAAAGCCCACGGCUCAACCGUGGAGGGCAUUGGAAACUGGGAGACUAGAGUGCAGAAGAGGAUAGUGGAAUUCCAAGUGUAGCGGUGAAAUGCGUAGAGAUUUGGAGGAACACCAGUGGCGAAGGCGACUGUCUGGUCUGUAACUGACACUGAGGCGCGAAAGCGUGGGGAGCAAACAGGAUUAGAUACCCUGGUA
rnacentral:rRNA from 1 species